AUUGAACGCUGGCGGCAUGCUUUACACAUGCAAGUCGAACGGCAGCGCGGGCUUCGGCCUGGCGGCGAGUGGCGAACGGGUGAGUAAUGCAUCGGAACGUGCCCAGUAGUGGGGGAUAGCCCGGCGAAAGCCGGAUUAAUACCGCAUACGACCUGAGGGUGAAAGCGGGGGACCGAAAGGCCUCGCGCUAUUGGAGCGGCCGAUGUCGGAUUAGCUAGUUGGUGGGGUAAAGGCUUACCAAGGCGACGAUCCGUAGCUGGUCUGAGAGGACGACCAGCCAACUGGGGCAGUGGAACCGGCCCAGAUCCUCAGGGGGGGCAGCGGUGGGGAAUUUUGGAAAAGGGGGGAAACCCUGACCCAGCCAGGCCGGGGGGGGGAAGAAGGCCUUCGGUUUGUAAACCGUUUUUGUUCGGGAAGAAAUCCUCUGGGCUAAUACCCCGGGGGGAGGACGGUACCGGAAGAAUAAGCACCGGCUAACUACGU
rnacentral:rRNA from 1 species